rnacentral:lncRNA from 1 species
AGAACAAAAGAACCAAUUUGAUAUACUUUUAAACUUCUUUUAUAACUGUAAGGAAAUUGAUCGAGUCAGUUUUACUUAAGAGUAAUGUUUAAACUAGAACGGUCAAGGACUAGAUGAUAAAAGGACUAUAUCAAGAUACCAAGAAUAUUUUGUAGAAGAUGAUGCUCGAGAAAAAAACAUUUAAGCUACCACCUAUUUGGGAAUAAGUGAUAUUUACUUAUGCUUUAUUAUUUAGAUGUUUAUGAUAACAUUUCUUACACCUGUUAAUGGUUUAAUU